UACAGAGGGGGCAAGCGUUGUUCGGAAUUACUGGGCGUAAAGGGCGCGUAGGCGGCCUGCUAAGUCGAACGUGAAAUCCCUGGGCUCAACCCAGGAACUGCGUCCGAUACUGGUUGGCUUGAAUCCGGGAGAGGGAUGUGGAAUUCCAGGUGUAGCGGUGAAAUGCGUAGAUAUCGGGAGGAACACCAGAGGCGAAGGCGGCGACCUGGACAAGGACUGACACUCAACUACGAAAGCGUGGGGAGCAAACAGG
rnacentral:rRNA from 1 species